UCAAACCAGUUUUUUUUUUUUUUUUUUUUUUUUUUUUACACAUAUGAAUAAAAUGCUUAUGCAAGGUAAUGUAAUUUAAAAGUGCAGUCAAGCAUAAUAUUUGGUCACUUUCCCAGUGUAAUGGCCUGGGGGUAUAUAAUUAUAUUUUGGCCAAAUGUCCCUUGUGUCUUUUAAUUUUAUUGGUGUUUUAAUUUGUCUUAUGUCAUUGGAUUGUUCUUGGAGAUUUUCCCUCCAAGAGUUAUGUUCUUUGUGGUCAGUCUUUAUUCAGUUUUGAAGAAGAGAGUUGAUUUCAGUAGAUCUGACAUAUUUUGACAAUUAGACAUAGACCGCCGUUUUUCCUCUUGAAUGAUCAAACCAGUUUGGUGUCAUCUGUAAAUAUUGUUCACUCGAGCCUAUUCCCAUAGAAUGGGUUUCAUCAUUUGACAAUUCGUGCAUUGGUAACUCCUGAAUAAACGUCUUGUCGAG